UGGGGGAUAUUGCACAAUGGGCGGAAGCCUGAUGCAGCGACGCCGCGUGAGGGAUGGAGGCCUUCGGGUUGUGAACCUCUUUCGCCUGGGAAGCAGGCCUGCCUUGUUGGGGUGGGUUGACGGUACUGGGAGAAGAAGCGCCGGCUAACUACGUGCCAGCAGCCGCGGUAAUACGUAGGGCGCGAGCGUUGUCCGGAAUUAUUGGGCGUAAAGGGCUCGUAGGCGGCUGGGCGCGUCUGUCGUGAAAUCCUCUGGCUUAACUGGGGGCUUGCGGUGGGUACGGGCCGGCUUGAGUGCGGUAGGGGAGGCGGGAAUUCCUGGUGUAGCGGUGGAAUGCGCAGAUAUCAGGAGGAACACCGGUGGCGAAGGCGGGUCUCUGGGCCGUUACUGACGCUGAGGAGCGAGAGCGUGGGGAGCGAACA
rnacentral:rRNA from 1 species